AUGCCGCUCCACCACCCGAAGCACCGCCAUCACCACAACGAAGACGUCCUCCCCUACCACCGCUCCGACGACGAGGCCAAGCCGCGGCGCCCAUACGUCCCCUCCAGCUUCCCCUCCUCACCUGCCUCCGCCGCUCCCCCCCACCGCUUCCUCCUCCUCUUCGCCGUCGUCUGCCUCCUACUCGCCGUGGCCUCCCUCUCCUUCGCCGUGUCCGUUAGCCGCCGCCCUGUGCCACUCCAGUCGCCCCCCGACUCCGUCGCCUUCCGCUGUGGCCGCGCCGAGGACUCCCUACGCUCCUUCCUCGCCUCCUCCGGGAACUACUCAGCCGGCGACAGAGAAAAGGUGCUCGCUGUCGUUGGCGUCCACACUGAGCUCGGAUCCGCCGCCCGCCGUGCUGCGCUCCGUGCCACCUGGUUCCCGCCAAACCCUGAAGGCGUCGUAAGUUUGGAACAUGGAUUUGGUUUAUCUUUUAGGUUUGUCAUUGCAAGGACGAAGGACAAAGAAAAAAUGGCAGAUCUUCAGAAAGAGGUAGACAUGUAUCAUGACUUUUUGUUUAUUGAUGCUGAUGAGGGUAAGAAGCCCCCAGAGAAGAUGUUAGCAUAUUUCAAAGCAGCUUAUGACAUGUUCCACGCAGAAUUUUACGUCAAAGCUGAUGAUACUAUCUAUCUGCGCCCAGAUAGACUUGCUGCUCUCCUUGCAAAGGACCGACUUCAUCACCGGACUUAUAUUGGUUGCAUGAAGAAGGGACCGGUUGUCAGUGAUCCGAAUAUGAAAUGGUAUGAAAGUUCAUAUGGAUUAUUAGGUAAUGAGUACUUCAUGCAUGCAUCUGGUUCACUGUAUGCUCUUUCUUCAGAAGUGGUGGGAGCUAUAGCUACUACAAACAAUGAUAGUUUAAGGAUGUUUGAUUAUGAGGAUGUUACUAUUGGCUCAUGGAUGCUUGCCAUGAAUGUAAAUCAUGAAGACAACCGUGCAAUGUGUGAUUCCACAUGCACUCCCAGCUCCAUUGCUGUAUGGGACAGCAAGACAUGUUCAGGCUCUUGUGACCCCAUUGAGAAAAUAAAGGAGCUGCACAACACAACUUUGUGCUCAAAAAGCCCAACAUUACCGCCUGAACUGGAGGAGGAAGAGUAG
rnacentral:rRNA from 1 species